rnacentral:lncRNA from 1 species
GUAUUUCCAGUUAAAACUAAAAAAAUAGUGGCAUUAAGCACUAUUUCCCUUUUUUUCUCUCUCCCCGUCUCUUCCUGUCUCUUCGUCGCUGCACUAACAGAAUCCAACUCACCCUACCGCGCAAAAUUACUGAGCCACCCAACCAACCACCGCGAAGGAGGGCUUCUUUCUCUAUCCCCUCUGCGAAUGAGGGGGGCCCACGAGAGUGAGGUUGCUGCGAUGGCGGAGAGGGACGCUCAAAGGGAGAGAAUUUGGGACUUGGUGAGUUUUGGGGGGGUUGGGAUUUUGGGGAUGGAGAUUUGGAUUGGGAUUCUGGGCUUUGAAAUGGGAGAUGAGGAAGGGGAAGAGAUGGGUACUUUGGAGGAGGCCAUGAUCGUGUUGGCCAUGGCUAUUCUGGUGCUUUCUUUCUGCUUUGUGUUUGUUCUCUGGACUUUUUGGUUUUGAUAGUUUGUGGGAUUUUGAGAUUUGAGGGGCUGAGAGUGUAAAUCUCAUUCUUCAUCUCUCUAUCCUCCUAAUCCGAUUCAUACCCACCAAUUUCCAUCCUCUUAUUCCACGAUUAAGCAACAAUUAACAACCUUCUUCGUUCUCCUCCUCCGGUGUGAGAGAGAACAGAGGGAGAGAUGACAGGGGGAGACGAAGGCGGAGGAACGGC